UACGUAGGCAGCAAGCGUUGUUCGGAGUUACUGGGCGUAAAGGGUGCGUAGGCGGUUGUUUAAGUUUGGUGUGAAAUCUCCCGGCUCAACUGGGAGGGUGCGCCGAAUACUGAAUGACUAGAGUGCGGGAGAGGAGAGUGGAAUUCCUGGUGUAGCGGUGAAAUGCGUAGAUAUCAGGAGGAACACCGGUGGUGUAGACGGCUCUACUGGACCGAUACUGACGCUGAGGCACGAAAGCGUGGGGAGCAAACAGG
rnacentral:rRNA from 1 species